GCGUCGGUGGUGCAACGGUUGCAUACGCUCCCGGAAAGAGUAAGAUCUGGGGUCGAAUCUCGGCUGAUGCA